rnacentral:rRNA from 1 species
UAGAGUUUGAUCCUGGCUCAGAACGAACGCUGGCGGCAGGCUUAACACAUGCAAGUCGAACGCAUCCUUCGGGGUGAGUGGCAGACGGGUGAGUAACGCGUGGGAACGUGCCCUUCAGUUCGGAAUAACCCAGGGAAACUUGGGCUAAGACCGGAUACGUGCGAGAGCAGAAAGAUUUAUCGCUGAAGGAUCGGCCCGCGUCUGAUUAGCUAGUUGGUGGGGUAAUGGCCCACCAAGGCGACGAUCAGUAGCUGGUCUGAGAGGAUGAUCAGCCACACUGGAACUGAAACACGGUCCAGACUCCUACGGGAGGCAGCAGUGGGGAAUAUUGGACAAUGGGCGCAAGCCUGAUCCAGCGACGCCGCGUGAGUGAUGAAGGCCUUCGGGUUGUAAAGCUCUGUUGAGGGAGAAGAAAACGUUUGGCGCGAAUAGCUCCAGACCUUGACGGUAUCCCUUUAGAAAGCACCGGCUAACUCUGUGCCAGCAGCCGCGGUAAGACAGAGGGUGCAAACGUUGCUCGGAAUUACUGGGCGUAAAGCGCGUGUAGGCGGGCUAGUAAGUCGGACGUGAAAUCCCUGGGCUCAACCCAGGAACUGCAUCCGAAACUAUUAGUCUUGAGUGGUGGAGAGGAAAGCAGAAUUCCUGGUGUAGAGGUGAAAUUCGUAGAUAUCAGGAGGAACACCGGUGGCGAAGGCGGCUUUCUGGACACUAACUGACGCUGAGACGCGAAAGCGUGGGGAGCAAACAGGAUUAGAUACCCUGGUAGUCCACGCCGUAAACGAUGAGUG